AGUGAACGCUGGCGGUAGGCCUAACACAUGCAAGUCGAACGGCAGCACAGUAAGAGCUUGCUCUUACGGUGGGCGAGUGGCGAACGGGUGCGGAAUACAUGGGAACCACCUUUUUCGUGGGGGUCAACUAAGGGAAACUUAGGCUAAUACCGAAUCGGACCUCCGGGGGAAAGCAGGGGAUUUUGGUACCUUGGGCGAUGGAUUAAGCCGAUGUCGCGUUGGUGAGUGGGCGGGGAAAAGGCCAACCAAGGCGACGAUCCGUAGCUGGUCUGAGAGGUGGAUCAGCCCCACUGGAACUGAGACACGGUCCAGACUCCUACGGGAGGCAGCAGUGGGGAAUAUUGGACAAUGGGCGCAAGCAUGAUCCAGCCAUACCGCGUGGGUGAAGAAGGCCUUCGGGUUGUAAAGCCCUUUUGUUGGGAAAGAAAAGCAGCAGGUUAAUACCCCGCUGUUCUGACGGUACCCAAAGAAUAAGCACCGGCUAACUUCGUG
rnacentral:rRNA from 1 species